GCUGAAAUAACUACCUACUUUUUUAGGCAUUUUACUGAAUUUUAAACAAUCCCGCA
rnacentral:tRNA from 1 species